GGGUUGUGAGGUUAAGCGACUAAGCGUACACGGUGGAUGCCCUGGCAGUCAGAGGCGAUGAAGGACGUGCUAAUCUGCGAAAAGCGCCGGCGAGGUGAUAUGAACCUUUGACCCGGCGAUGUCCGAAUGGGGAAACCCAGUGCAAUCCGUUGCACUAUCGUUAACUGAAUACAUAGGUUAACGAGGCGAACCGGGGGAACUGAAACAUCUAAGUACCCCGAGGAAAAGAAAUCAACCGAGAUUCCCCCAGUAGCGGCGAGCGAACGGGGAGCAGCCCGGAGUCUGAAUCAGCUUGUGUGUUAGUGGAACGGUCUGGAAAGUCCGACGGUACAGGGUGAUAGUCCCGUACACGAAAGCACACAUGCUGUGAACUCGAAGAGUAGGGCGGGACACGUGGUAUCCUGUCUGAAUAUGGGGGGACCAUCCUCCAAGGCUAAAUACUCCUGACUGACCGAUAGUGAACCAGUACCGUGAGGGAAAGGCGAAAAGAACCCCGGCGAGGGGAGUGAAAAAGAACCUGAAACCGUGUACGUACAAGCAGUGGGAGCCUCUUUAUGGGGUGACUGCGUACCUUUUGUAUAAUGGGUCAGCGACUUAUAUUCUGUAGCAAGGUUAACCGUAUAGGGGAGCCGAAGGGAAACCGAGUCUUAACUGGGCGUUAAGUUGCAGGGUAUAGACCCGAAACCCGGUGAUCUAGCCAUGGGCAGGUUGAAGGUUGGGUAACACUAACUGGAGGACCGAACCGACUAAUGUUGAAAAAUUAGCGGAUGACCUGUGGCUGGGGGUGAAAGGCCAAUCAAACCGGGAGAUAGCUGGUUCUCCCCGAAAGCUAUUUAGGUAGCGCCUCGUGAACUCAUCUUCGGGGGUAGAGCACUGUUUCGGCUAGGGGGCCAUCCCGGCUUACCAACCCGAUGCAAACUACGAAUACCGAAGAAUGUUAUCACGGGAGACACACGGCGGGUGCUAACGUCCGUCGUGAAGAGGGAAACAACCCAGACCGCCAGCUAAGGUCCCAAAGUCAUGGUUAAGUGGGAAACGAUGUGGGAAGGCACAGACAGCCAGGAUGUUGGCUUAGAAGCAGCCAUCAUUUAAAGAAAGCGUAAUAGCUCACUGGUCGAGUCGGCCUGCGCGGAAGAUGUAACGGGGCUAAACCAUGCACCGAAGCUGCGGCAGCGACGCUUAGGCGUUGUUGGGUAGGGGAGCGUUCUGUAAGCCGUUGAAGGUGUCCUGUGAGGGGUGCUGGAGGUAUCAGAAGUGCGAAUGCUGACAUAAGUAACGAUAAAGCGGGUGAAAAGCCCGCUCGCCGGAAGACCAAGGGUUCCUGUCCAACGUUAAUCGGGGCAGGGUGAGUCGACCCCUAAGGCGAGGCCGAAAGGCGUAGUCGAUGGGAAACAGGUUAAUAUUCCUGUACUUGGUGUUACUGCGAAGGGGGGACGGAGAAGGCUAUGUCAGCCGGGCGACGGUUGUCCCGGUUUAAGCAUGUAGGCGGAGGUUCCAGGUAAAUCCGGUACCUUGUUAACGCUGAGGUGUGAUGACGAGGCACUACGGUGCUGAAGUGAUAAAUGCCCUGCUUCCAGGAAAAGCCUCUAAGCAUCAGGUAACACGAAAUCGUACCCCAAACCGACACAGGUGGUCAGGUAGAGAAUACCAAGGCGCUUGAGAGAACUCGGGUGAAGGAACUAGGCAAAAUGGUGCCGUAACUUCGGGAGAAGGCACGCUGAUAUGUAGGUGAAGCCCCUGCGGGCGGAGCUGAAAUCAGUCGAAGAUACCAGCUGGCUGCAACUGUUUAUUAAAAACACAGCACUGUGCAAACACGAAAGUGGACGUAUACGGUGUGACGCCUGCCCGGUGCCGGAAGGUUAAUUGAUGGGGUUAGCGGCAACGCGAAGCUCUUGAUCGAAGCCCCGGUAAACGGCGGCCGUAACUAUAACGGUCCUAAGGUAGCGAAAUUCCUUGUCGGGUAAGUUCCGACCUGCACGAAUGGCGUAAUGAUGGCCAGGCUGUCUCCACCCGAGACUCAGUGAAAUUGAACUCGCUGUGAAGAUGCAGUGUACCCGCGGCAAGACGGAAAGACCCCGUGAACCUUUACUAUAGCUUGACACUGAACACUGGUCCUUGAUGUGUAGGAUAGGUGGGAGGCUUUGAAGCGUGGACGCCAGUCUGCGUGGAGCCAACCUUGAAAUACCACCCUUUAAUGGCUGGUGUUCUAACGUAGACCCGUAAUCCGGGUUGCGGACAGUGUCUGGUGGGUAGUUUGACUGGGGCGGUCUCCUCCCAAAGAGUAACGGAGGAGCACGAAGGUUGGCUAAUCCUGGUCGGACAUCAGGAGGUUAGUGCAAUGGCAUAAGCCAGCUUGACUGCGAGCGUGACGGCGCGAGCAGGUGCGAAAGCAGGUCAUAGUGAUCCGGUGGUUCUGAAUGGAAGGGCCAUCGCUCAACGGAUAAAAGGUACUCCGGGGAUAACAGGCUGAUACCGCCCAAGAGUUCAUAUCGACGGCGGUGUUUGGCACCUCGAUGUCGGCUCAUCACAUCCUGGGGCUGAAGUAGGUCCCAAGGGUAUGGCUGUUCGCCAUUUAAAGUGGUACGCGAGCUGGGUUUAGAACGUCGUGAGACAGUUCGGUCCCUAUCUGCCGUGGGCGCUGGAGAAUUGAGGGGGGCUGCUCCUAGUACGAGAGGACCGGAGUGGACGCAUCACUGGUGUUCGGGUUGUCAUGCCAAUGGCACUGCCCGGUAGCUAAAUGCGGAAGAGAUAAGUGCUGAAAGCAUCUAAGCACGAAACUUGCCCCGAGAUGAGUUCUCCCUGAGACUUUAAGUCUCCUGAAGGAACGUUGAAGACGACGACGUUGAUAGGUCGGGUGUGUAAGCGCAGCGAUGCGUUGAGCUAACCGAUACUAAUGAACCGUGAGGCUUAACCUUACAACGCCGAAGCUGUU
rnacentral:rRNA from 1 species